GGAGAGGUCGCAUAGUGGCCUAGUGCGAAGGUCUUGAAAACCUUUGAGGUGCAUAGCCUCCGUGGGUUCGAAUCCCACCCUCUCCGCCA
rnacentral:tRNA from 2 species